CUUUCCUACUCCCUUCUCUUUUCAGCUGUAAGAUUUUAUGAUUCAGUUACCCUGCAUUAUUGUCAACCUAAAAUAAAUCUCCUCAGAAGGACCUACAAAUUAUUGAGCUAAUUCUUCUUUUACCAAUCCAAGUUUGAUCUCACUUAUUAGCUGCAGAUGCAUCAGGAGAAAUUGAGGCAUACAGAGGAAAAAAUGAUCAUCUACUGGUGAAAGUAGAGUCAGAGUUAGAAAGCUACAUCCUAAGAAUCAGAAACUCCAGGUUAACUACAUGUCAAGAAAUGUUUCCGACCCAGACAGCACGUACCUACCAGUUUGAGGUGGUGUUUUCAUUUCUCACAUGUGCCGAAGACCAGACUUCCAGUUGCAGGGCCCAGGACUGAGCCAGAUUCAGGGCCAUAGGUAACCCCAGCUUAAUUACUCUCUCUGAUGGAGACUGGGCAUUCUUGCUGUCCCUUUAAGGGAAUGAGAACAGAAUCUUAGAAUAAGAUGGUUUGUCAUUCUUUGAGGAAUUUUGUGAGCCUGUCAAACCAUGAAGAGCUCU
rnacentral:lncRNA from 1 species